AGAGUUUGAUCCUGGCUCAGGACGAACGCUGGCGGCGUGCUUAACACAUGCAAGUCGAGCGGUAAGGCCCUUCGGGGUACACGAGCGGCGAACGGGUGAGUAACACGUGGGUGAUCUGCCCUGCACUUCGGGAUAAGCCUGGGAAACUGGGUCUAAUACCGGAUAUGACCAUUGAUCGCAUGGUUGGUGGUGGAAAGAUUUAUCGGUGCAGGAUGGGCCCGCGGCCUAUCAGCUUGUUGGUGGGGUAAUGGCCUACCAAGGCGACGACGGGUAGCCGGCCUGAGAGGGCGAUCGGCCACACUGGGACUGAGACACGGCCCAGACUCCUACGGGAGGCAGCAGUGGGGAAUAUUGCACAAUGGGCGAAAGCCUGAUGCAGCGACGCCGCGUGAGGGAUGACGGCCUUCGGGUUGUAAACCUCUUUCAGCAGGGACGAAGCGCAAGUGACGGUACCUGCAGAAGAAGCACCGGCCAACUACGUG
rnacentral:rRNA from 1 species